rnacentral:lncRNA from 1 species
UCAGAACUCAGAAAUUCCCCAAAACAUAAAUACUUCUCUCUUUCUCUUACCAAAACGGCGAAAAUGGCGGAUUCUGAUUUUUGUCUCUUUUUUUCUUUGAUGAAGAUUCUCUUGAUCAAUUCAUGGCUAUCGAAACUGAUUCUGCCAUAAAAAUCUGGACAGGCAAGCAUGGAAGAAGAUCCGUUGAUCUGUGUUGAUGUCAUCAAGAUUCCACUGCUCUACUGUGCAACUCUUAAGCUGCAAAAUAUGCUAACUUGAAACCUCUUUGCUCUCAAAAGAGGCACAAGCAGCCAGAUGAAGAACAGCCCGACUGCGGAUGACCCUGCAAAUAGAAGGAAUGUUCCCGAUGACCCGACUGCGUUUGUCAAUGUCAGGAACGUCUCACUCACUACGAGAUUUGACAUCCAGUUUGAGACUGCAGCGAUUCCUCCCGCGAGCCCUCUGUAGCGAAGAGGAUAGAUCUCUGAGUUGACAAUCCAUGGAACUGUGCCCAUACCGGGCGCGUACACAAUGAUGUAGAGGCCAAGGAAGACAAUGGCCAGGUACCCGAACUUGCUGGGGCAUCCGUCUUUGAAGAAGGUUCUGCCUUUCGAGUGGCACAAUGCCUUCAUAUCAGCAGACUGAACAAUGCAUGCUCCAGGUGCGUACUGUGACAAAACACAUAUAACCCCAACAUGAGUCUUAAUUCAUCUAGCCAGUACUGUUUUGGUGUGUGUGUUUUGAGUAAAGAGACUUUAUUACCUCCUGUGCUCCGUUGGAGCAGAAUCCGCAAUCGUAUUGAAGACACUUCAUACAAUUCCAGUUGGAGGGAGGAGAACGGGAGGCUGUGAAUGGGGCAAAUGCGGGACAAGUAGCAUUUUUUGCGAAGUUUCUGGAGUCUCUCUUAUCGAUCUUUGGAGCGUGGUUUGAGGCUUCAUUGAAAACGGCAGCCAAAAUGACAAGGCAAGUUAUGAUCCCGAACAUGGAAAUGAUCAUAAGCUUGCGCCGACCAUAACGGUCUACAAACAUCAUGCUUACUACAGACCCCACUGCAUUGAGACCGGAGGUUAUGAGAGCAAGAGCCAUGGCUGUCUUGUUGGAUGCGUAACCUGCAAACUGCAGAAUAGUAGGACUGUAGUACAUGACUGUGUUGAUUCCCACAAACUGCUGGGCGACCUGGACGGUGAUACCUGCGGCCAGACCGUGGCGGACAACUGGAUUCGAGAGAGCGCCUCUGAGCUUAUCAGAGAAGGUAUGGCCGAUAAUAUCCUCGUCAGCCGUCUCUGCCCGGACAGACUCCUUGAGUGCAGCUAUCUCCGCUUCAACCAUCUCUGCCGGGUAUAUUCUCUCGAGGAUGUCUCUUGACUCGGCUUUCCUAUCAUUUCUAUAGAGCCACCGUGGAGACUCUGGCAGCGUUAGCAUGAGGCAGAACUGAAUGAUCGCUGGAAUCGCCGAGACUCCCAACAUCCACCUCCAUGUACCCGGUGUCUGUGAGACAUCUCAGAGAUGUAAAGCGGUGAGGUCAUAGAAGCCAUACCAACCCCAAAACCCACCAAGAGUCUGCCGAGGAUGAUGACCCACGGCGCAUGAGCAAUCACCAUCACCAGGGCACCCAGCAGGAAGAGCACAUCCGCUAUAAGAACAGACAUCCUCCUACCAAACUUAUCGUUGUACCAUCCUCCUAUAGCUGCUCCAACAAUGGCUCCAGCCACGGUCAUGCUCACAAUGAUCUCCUGAAGCCAUGUCUUGUUGUCUACCUCACCAAACUCCUCUUUUAUAUAGAGAAGAGCCCCUGCGAUGACUCCCGUGUUGUAUCCGAAGAGGAGUCCUCCAAUACCGGCAGAGAGAGCCAGCCGCAUAAUGUAAGGUGUCUCCCAUGUCGUCGUCCACACCUCUGUGAUAUUUAUCUGCUCUGAUUUCGAUGCUUCUUCCACCAUCUCUCUAACUGAAGUGGUUUUCUCGAAACCUUACGCUGAUCGAUAAAUGAUCGAGAAAUGUUUGUAAGUCCAGAAAAGAUGUCCUGAAGAAAGUUACAAGCAUUGAAACUUGAAAGAGUAUAUUUAUAGGAGCAUAAUGGAUUGAGAAAAAAAAGAAACGCCAAGAAUAGGAGAGUUCGAAGACAACAAAUCAGGCUCAAUAUCCAGUUUUUAAUGAUUAGCUAGAGUGACAGUUUGCAAAAAAGUGUCUGUUAUUGACUUGAAAAAAUCUGUUAUGAGUGUUUCCUCUGCAUUCAACUGUUCAAAACUUUAUCUCCUUAGUUGCUGUUUUGUACAACUGUAACCAUACUAUUUUUGGAACAUAACCUGGUUGCUCCCAAAAAAAAGAAAUCAUG